rnacentral:lncRNA from 1 species
AAUAUGGAAGUUGAUUAAAUUGGUUUCUCUGAUUUUUUUCAAAUAUGAAGCCAAAGUCGAAGAAUAGUCAUGGCAAUGCGAAAAACAAUCAGGCCUUUGAUGUGAUAAAGAAGCCUAAGAAGAAGACCAUUUCUCCUUAUGACUUCACGGAGCUCUCGAAGGCGCUUUCCAUUGUUUUAAUAGCCAACUGAAGGUCAUGAGAUACAAAAAGGUGAAACCCUAGAAAACGUACAUACUAAUUGGUUGAUGUUCGAGGAAUCAAGAGGGAGGGAGCACUGCCGAUGAACCAUUUUGGUAUUUUUUUCGGCGGCACUUAAUAAGCCGUUGAAGAGAAAAAAGAGUUUUCAGACUCCUGAUUAAACUUCCCGGGGAGUACGUUUGGCUAUGAUUUCUAUGGUUCUCUGUUGCUUCUGCUUGAAUGGGAUACAACGGCUUUGUGCUAAUUGUUGUUUAUUUUACUAAAACCUUGUUAGAUUAUCAAAAGCUUUUUGAAAC